rnacentral:misc_RNA from 1 species
GAUGAAGAACGCAGCGAAAUGCGAUACUUGGUGUGAAUUGCAGAAUCCCGUGAACCAUCGAGUCUUUGAACGCAAGUUGCGCCUCAAGCCAUUAGGUUGAGGGCACGUCUGCCUGGGCGUCACAUAUCGUUGCCUGAUGCCAGUUUCCUCGUGAUGGGUGACUGUGCAGGGCGAAUGAUGGCUUCCCGUGAGCAUUGUUGCCUCAUGGUUGGUUGAAAAUUGAGUCCUUGGUAGGGAGCGCCGUGAUAGAUGGUGGUUGAGUGACGAACGAGACCCAAUCAUGUGAGACCCCUACCGCAUUUGGCCUUCAUGACCCACAUGCGUCUUUGGAACGCUCAUGACGAGACCUCAGGUCAGGCGGGGCUACCCGCUGAGUUUAAGCAUAUCAAUAAGCGGAGGA